rnacentral:rRNA from 1 species
AGUGAACGCUGGCGGCGUGCUUAACACAUGCAAGUCGAACGAGAACGGAUUAUAGCUUGCUAUAAUUGUCAGCUAAGUGGCGCACGGGUGAGUAAUGUAUAGGUAAUAUGCCUCUUACUAAGGGAUAACAAAUGGAAACGUUUGCUAAUACCUUAUACUCCUUAUUAACAUAAGUUAAUAAGGGAAAGAUUUAUUGGUAAGAGAUUAGCCUGUAUUGUAUCAGUUAGUUGGUGGGGUAAUGGCUUACCAAGACUAUGACACAUAACUGGUUUGAGAGGAUGAUCAGUCACACUGGAGCUGAGACACGGUCCAGACUCCUACGGGAGGCAGCAGUGGGGAAUAUUACACAAUGGACGAAAGUCUGAUGCAGCAACGCCGCGUGGAGGAUGACACAUUUCAGUGCGUAAACUCCUUUUAUAUGGGAAGGUAAUGACGGUAUUAUAUGAAUAAGCACCGGCUAACUCCGUGCCAGCCGCCGCGGUAA